UACGUAGGGUGCAAGCGUUGUCCGGAAUUAUUGGGCGUAAAGAGCUCGUAGGCGGCCUGUCGCGUCGGCUGUGAAAACUCAGGGCUCAACCCUGAGCCUGCAGUCGAUACGGGCAGGCUAGAGUCCGGCAGGGGGAGACUGGAAUUCCUGGUGUAGCGGUGAAAUGCGCAGAUAUCAGGAGGAACACCAGUGGCGAAGGCGGUUGCCUGGGCUUUGCGACGCUGAUGCGCGAAAGCGUGGG
rnacentral:rRNA from 1 species